UCCGAAUGGGGGAACCCAACAUCUUUAAUAGGAUGUUACGAUUGUGUGAAUACAUAGCACAUUCGAGGUAGACGCAGAGAACUGAAACAUCUAAGUACCUGCAGGAAGAGAAAGAAAAUUCGAUUCCCUGAGUAGCGGCGAGCGAAACGGGAAAAGCCCAAACCAGCAAGCUUGCUUGUUGGGGUUGUAGGACUCCAAUAUGGUAGUUCUUUCAGAUAGUCGAAUGACUUGGAAAAGUCAGUCAAAGAGGGUAAAAACCCCGUAGACGAAAUGUGGAAGACACCUAGGAGGAUCCUGAGUACGGCGGAACACGAGAAAUUCCGUCGGAAUCCGGGAGGACCAUCUCCCAAGGCUAAAUACUCCCUAGUGACCGAUAGUGAACCAGUACCGUGAGGGAAAGGUGAAAAGCACCCCGGAAGGGGAGUGAAAUAGAACCUGAAACCGUGUGCCUACAACAAGUCAAAGCCCGUUAAUGGGUGAUGGCGUGCCUUUUGUAGAAUGAACCGGCGAGUUACGAUUGCAUGCGAGGUUAAGUUGAAGAGACGGAGCCGCAGCGAAAGCGAGUCUGAAUAGGGCGUUUGAGUAUGUAGUCGUAGACCCGAAACCAUGUGAUCUACCCAUGUCCAGGUUGAAGGUGCGGUAAAACGCACUGGAGGACCGAACCCACGUACGUUGAAAAGUGCGGGGAUGAGGUGUGGGUAGCGGAGAAAUUCCAAACGAACUUGGAGAUAGCUGGUUCUCUCCGAAAUAGCUUUAGGGCUAGCCUCGGAAUUGAGAAUGAUGGAGGUAGAGCACUGUUUGGACUAGGGGCCCAUCUCGGGUUACCGAAUUCAGAUAAACUCCGAAUGCCAUUCAUUCAUAUCCGGGAGUCAGACUGUGAGUGAUAAGAUCCAUAGUCGAAAGGGAAACAGCCCAGACCACCAGCUAAGGUCCCAAAAUAUAUGUUAAGUGGAAAAGGAUGUGGGGUUGCACAGACAACUAGG
rnacentral:rRNA from 1 species